CACGUAGGGGGCGAGCGUUGUCCGGAUUUAUUGGGCGUAAAGAGCUCGUAGGCGGCUCAGUAAGUCAGGUGUGAAAACUCCAGGCUCAACCUGGAGACGCCACCUGAUACUGCUGUGGCUAGAGUCCGGUAGGGGAGCAUGGAAUUCCUGGUGUAGCGGUGAAAUGCGCAGAUAUCGGAAGGAACAUCAGUGGCGAAAGCGGCUUCCUGGACCAGUACCGGACGUCAGGCACGAAAGCGUGGGGAGCAAACAGG
rnacentral:rRNA from 1 species